rnacentral:rRNA from 1 species
UAGCACUUUAUACUGUGAAACUGCGAAUGGCUCAUUAAAUCAGUUAUCGUUUAUUUGAUAGUACCUUACUACAUGGAUACCUGUGGUAAUUCUAGAGCUAAUACAUGCUAAAAACCCCGACUUCAGGAAGGGGUGUAUUUAUUAGAUAAAAAACCAACGCCCUUCGGGGCUCCUUGGUGAAUCAUAAUAACUUAACGAAUCGCAUGGCCUUGCGCCGGCGAUGGUUCAUUCAAAUUUCUGCCCUAUCAACUUUCGAUGGUAGGAUAGUGGCCUACCAUGGUGGCAACGGGUAACGGGGAAUUAGGGUUCGAUUCCGGAGAGGGAGCCUGAGAAACGGCUACCACAUCCAAGGAAGGCAGCAGGCGCGCAAAUUACCCAAUCCCGAUACGGGGAGGUAGUGACAAUAAAUACUGAUACGGGGCUCUUUUGGGUCUCGUAAUUGGAAUGAGAACAAUUUAAAUCCCUUAACGAGGAACAAUUGGAGGGCAAGUCUGGUGCCAGCAGCCGCGGUAAUUCCAGCUCCAAUAGCGUAUAUUAAAGUUGUUGCAGUUAAAAAGCUCGUAGUUGAACCUUGGGUCUGGCUGGCCGGUCCGCCUCACCGCGAGUACUGGUCCGGCUGGACCUUUCCUUCUGGGGAACCCCAUGGCCUUCACUGGCUGUGGGGGGAACCAGGACUUUUACUGUGAAAAAAUUAGAGUGUUCAAAGCAGGCCUUUGCUCGAAUACAUUAGCAUGGAAUAAUAGAAUAGGACGUGCGGUUCUAUUUUGUUGGUUUCUAGGACCGCCGUAAUGAUUAAUAGGGAUAGUCGGGGGCGUCAGUAUUCAGCUGUCAGAGGUGAAAUUCUUGGAUUUGCUGAAGACUAACUACUGCGAAAGCAUUCGCCAAGGAUGUUUUCAUUAAUCAGGGAACGAAAGUUAGGGGAUCGAAGACGAUCAGAUACCGUCGUAGUCUUAACCAUAAACUAUGCCGACUAGGGAUCGGACGGGAUUCUAUGAUGACCCGUUCGGCACCUUACGAGAAAUCAAAGUUUUUGG